rnacentral:lncRNA from 1 species
AUGGUGACAUCAAUAUAGAAUGUAGUACUGAAACGAUAAAUCUUAGCUACUUGUGCUGUGGUGCUGAAAUUACUUUGGCAUAUUUAAUAAAUCUAAAGGGUUGUUUGAUGUUCUAUAAGCGGAGCAGCAUUUAGCUCGAGUUGGAGAUGUGGACAAGCAUGAUGGAUCAACUUAUGGCCAUGAAUGACUAUGGGAUAAGGUAUCUUGUCAAAUGACUAACGGAUG